GGUUUUUUAAAGAAUCCACAGAAAGAAUGUACAUAUUCCAAUGAGAAAGAGCUAUCCAAUUAUCAUACUCCCUUCAAGGUCAGACUGCUUUUACUACCAUUGUGAAAGCUCUGAUUUCAGAAAGAAGGCAACCAAAUCUAAGGGUGAAGGGUAGGAAAUGAUUCCUUAUAUGACACAAAACUGUUAGUGAGGGGUCUAAGCAUCUGAAAAUACUUAAAAGACCAGGGUCUUAUUCUUUACAUGCACAAGACUUACUAUUGAGUAAGCUGCAUCGUUCUGCUAAGAAUGGUGCAGUUCUCAAGGCUCGGGAGAAGUUUCUAUAACAUGUAAAAUACACGGAGCACCUUUCAACACAAAGCAGCAGUGACAAAUUCUCUACUAAACUGGAGGGUCGAAGUUAAAAAGCUUUUUAUGUUAGUAAGGGAGGCCAUGCCAAAAAGCUGACGGGACCACCUGCGGUCCCUGACAGCUCAUCAGCAGCACAAUGAGUAAAUACAUGUUAAAAAUCGA